rnacentral:rRNA from 1 species
AGUGAACGCUGGCGGUAGGCCUAACACAUGCAAGUCGAACGGCAGCACAGUAAGAGCUUGCUCUUACGGGUGGCGAGUGGCGGACGGGUGAGGAAUACAUCGGCAUCUACUUUUUCGUGGGGGAUAACGUAGGGAAACUUACGCUAAUACCGCAUACGACCUACGGGUGAAAGCAGUGGAUCUUCGGACCUUGCGCGUUUGAAUGAGCCGAUGUCGGAUUAGCUAGUUGGCGGGGUAAAGGCCCACCAAGGCGACGAUCCGUAGCUGGUCUGAGAGGAUGAUCAGCCACACUGGAACUGAGACACGGUCCAGACUCCUACGGGAGGCAGCAGUGGGGAAUAUUGGACAAUGGGCGCAAGCUUGACCCAGCCAUACCGCGUGGGUGAAGAAGGCCUUCGGGUUGUAAAGCCCUUUUGUUGGGAAAGAAAAGCAGCAGGUUAAUACCCCGCUGUUCUGACGGUACCCAAAGAAUAAGCAACGGCUAACUUCGUG